rnacentral:lncRNA from 1 species
AGCAUACUUGGAGGAGAGGUCCAUUUUCCUGUCACCACCCACAGCCCCGUGGAUGACCAUAGGCAUUGAACAUUUAAGAAAUGAAGAGAAAAGUGUCUACGUGUCACGUGGAACUGAGGACGCGGGGGCGGCUGGACCCAAGCGCAGGAUCGGUCGUCAGGAACCAAGGAAUCAGAAUCCUGAUGUGCCCACUUAUGGCAGAGGGGACAAUGUCACAAAGGCUUAGAGAUUCAUCAGCCUACAAAGCC